AUCUCAUUUUUUUCUGAAUUGGAAAACCAUUUUUAUCGUUAAAGAUUAUACAGUACUUCACAUAUGAAGGUACAACUCAUGUUACGUAGUGGACAUUUUGAUGCGUUACGUAGUGGACAAAACCGUUUCUUAGUGGACAAAAAGUUUCGUAGUUGACAUCAACCCUAUUAUAUGUUAAUAAAAACCUAAUAAAAAUUACAUGAAACUAACCCUUGUUAUUUGUUUUGCACGAAUAUAAUUGAAAAAAGAUUUUAAAAAAGACUGCAUGGUAGUGGUAGUGUCCACUACGAAACGUUUUUCUCCCAUACUUGUUUCGUAGGGGACCGUUUCGUAGGGGACAUAUUCGCAUGUUUUAUUUUUUCCCCACAAUCCCUAUAUUGCAAUAGUAACAAGACUGAUUGUAUUCAUCAAAGCAUGUAUUAAGCUGUACACUGAUAUUUUUUUC
rnacentral:lncRNA from 1 species